UACGGAAGGCAGCAGUGGGGAAUAUUGCACAAUGGGCGCAAGCCUGAUGCAGCCAUGCCGCGUGUAUGAAGAAGGCCUUCGGGUUGUAAAGUACUUUCAGUCGUGAGGAAGGUGUUAAGGUUAAUAACCUUAGCAAUUGACGUUAGCGACAGAAGAAGCACCGGCUAACUCCGUGCCAGCAGCCGCGGUAAUACGGAGGGUGCGAGCGUUAAUCGGAAUUACUGGGCGUAAAGGGCACGCAGGCGGUUAAUUAAGUUGGAUGUGAAAUCCCCGGGCUUAACCUGGGAAUGGCAUUCAAGACUGGUUAGCUAGAGUCCUGUAGAGGGGGUAGAAUUCCAUGUGUAGCGGUGAAAUGCGUAGAGAUGUGGAGGAAUACCGGUGGCGAAGGCGGCCCCUGGGACAAAGACUGACGCUCAUGUGCGAAAGCGUGGGGAGCAAACAGGGAUUAGAUACC
rnacentral:rRNA from 1 species